rnacentral:rRNA from 1 species
AUUGAACGCUGGCGGCAUGCCUUACACAUGCAAGUCGAACGGCAGCACGGGUGCUUGCACCUGGUGGCGAGUGGCGAACGGGUGAGUAAUACAUCGGAACGUACCUUAUCGUGGGGGAUAACGCAGCGAAAGCUGUGCUAAUACCGCAUACGCCCUGAGGGGGAAAGCGGGGGAUCGAAAGACCUCGCGCGAUUAGAGCGGCCGAUGCCUGAUUAGCUUGUUGGUGGGGUAAAAGCCCACCAAGGCGACGAUCAGUAGCUGGUCCGAGAGGACGAUCAGCAAAACUGGGACUGAGACACGGCCCAGACUCCUACGGGAGGCAGAAGUGGGGAAUUUUGGACAAUGGGGGAAACCCUGAUCCAGCAAUGCCGCGUGGGUGAAGAAGGCCUUCGGGUUGUAAAGCUCUUUUGUCAGGGAAGAAACACCGGCUCUAACACAGUCCGGGAAUGACGGUACCUGAAGAAUAAGCACCGGCUAACUACGUGCCAGCCGCCGCGGUAA